GAUGAACGCUGGCGGCGUGCCUAAUACAUGCAAGUCGAGCGAACGGACGAGAAGCUUGCUUCUCUGAUGUUAGCGGCGGACGGGUGAGUAACACGUGGAUAACCUACCUAUAAGACUGGGAUAACUUCGGGAAACCGGAGCUAAUACCGGAUAAUAUUUUGAACCGCAUGGUUCAAAAGUGAAAGACGGUCCUGCUGUCACUUAUAGAUGGAUCCGCGCUGCAUUAGCUAGUUGGUAAGGUAACGGCUUACCAAGGCAACGAUGCAUAGCCGACCUGAGAGGGUGAUCGGCCACACUGGAACUGAGACACGGUCCAGACUCCUACGGGAGGCAGCAGUAGGGAAUCUUCCGCAAUGGGCGAAAGCCUGACGGAGCAACGCCGCGUGAGUGAUGAAGGUCUUCGGAUCGUAAAACUCUGUUAUUAGAGAAGAACAUAUGUGUAAGUAACUGUGCACAUCUUGACGGUACCUAAUCAGAAAGCCACGGCUAACUACGUG
rnacentral:rRNA from 1 species